UACGGAGGGUGCAAGCGUUAUCCGGAAUCACUGGGUUUAAAGGGUACGUAGGCGGGGUUUUAAGUCAGAAGUGAAAGGCCACGGCUUAACCGUGGAAUUGCUUUUGAUACUGGAACUCUUGAGUACAGCAAAGGUGCGUAGAAUGCGUCAUGUAGCGGUGAAAUGCAUAGAUAUGACGUAGAAUACCAAUUGCGAAGGCAGCGCACUGUACUGUAACUGACGCUGAUGUACGAAAGUGUGGGUAGCGAACAGG
rnacentral:rRNA from 1 species